UGCCCUGGCUCAGUUAUCACAGUGCUGCUGCUGUCCGUUCUGAAGGUACAGUACUGUGAUAACUGAAGGAUGGCA
rnacentral:pre_miRNA from 10 species